rnacentral:rRNA from 1 species
UACAGAGGGUGCAAGCGUUGUUCGGAAUCAUUGGGCGUAAAGCGCACGUAGGCGGUCUGCUAAGUCGGGUGUGAAAGCCCCAGGCUCAACCUGGGAAGUGCAUUCGAAACUGGCGGACUUGAAUGUCGGAGAGGGUGGUGGAAUUCCGAGUGUAGAGGUGAAAUUCGUAGAUAUUCGGAGGAACACCAGUGGCGAAGGCGACCACCUGGACGAACAUUGACGCUGAGGUGCGAAAGCGUGGGGAGCAAACAGG